GCAGAUGUGUGGAGCUUACGGAAUGUGGAGCCCAUUUAUUUUGCAUGCACAUUUAAUGUGAAAAAUUAUUUUUAAGUUCUAAAGCAACCUCUCGGAAAUGCUAAGAACUGCAAAGCUACGCAGACCCUGAUGCAUUCCUAAAUAUAAUGAAGAAAAAACAGAAAUGCACCAAGAAUUGAAAACCCUGGUUACUCACGAUUCUUUUCACCUUUCCACCUUGACCCAGCUUUCGUUCUGUCCGAGACACCCACAGGAGAAGUUAUCUCAGCCAUCGAGAGCAGCAGCAUCAGUAACAGCACAGCCAUGCCAGGUCAGAUCUUUGGUACAGAUGCUGCCAUCACAAUCCUAGAAGACUCACCAUUGCUUCACAGAGUGGAGGCAUGUCUUGUUCCACAACAGUGAGUAUGAAGGAUCUGGAAGAAUGGGCCACUCAGAAGAGUUGCUGGUAAAGGAUGCAUGAGGGGAUGAAUGCUCAACAGUAUCUUCACCCUGACAUUUUUUAUCAUGUGUUCACUGGACAAGAAAGACGCCACUCUAGGAUUUAAGAUUUACUGUGUUAAAAGGAAAAAAAAGGAGAAAAAAGCAAAAAUACGAAUCUAAGAAAAAAUAUAUGGAGACGAGGACCUUCUAAGCAUGAAAACAAAGAUAGAAAUAUUAAAACGAAACACUAUGAUUUUCCAUAGGAAAAAAAAAACUGGUGAAAAGGAGUGGGGAGCAUUUCCAACCUAACAAAAUGUUAAUACUUUUUAGCAUAAAGCAAAACAAAUACAACAUAUUUCAGCAUCAAAUCACACAAAUAAAAUGACCCCAAUAGAAACCAGAAGAAUAGGUACAUAUCCAAUUUGCCAGAGUAAUACUUAAAAAGGAAAAAAAAAUCAAAUUGAAACCCAAACAAAACUUUCUUUACUAUUACUAGGAAAGCAAUAAAUUUAAACUAAAAAAUAUUUAAAAACUGAAAAUUUAUACUAUCAUGACCCUAUAAAACUGUAUCCAACUUUAUGCUAACUUAUUAAACGUUUUUAAGUGGUGACAUUGAAUUAUUUUAACUAUGAUUAUGUUGGUAAUUUCCUGAAGUACAAUAUCAAUAUGCAUCACAUUUAUACUUUACUACUCAGGAAAAAAAUGUAUACCUUGCUUACAAUAAACAUGUUCCUAUGUUCAAUUUUCCUCUAAAAAUUCCUUCCUAUGGUUUACUCAUUUUGUGGUUGCUUAAUAUGAACACAAUUCUCUUUAAAAUGUAAUCAAUCAAUUGAUAGGUAUCAUGCUUUGACUUGUGGUCACACAAAAAGUGCUAAAAUUAGUUAUUCUCUACAAAAAAUCAUAACAUUUGUAUUUUAAGUGUUAAGUGUGUGACACUGAAUGUUCAUUUGUAUUUGCAUGUAAUUUACCACAGGCAUUGUCAACAGAUUAAGAGAAUUAGUUUUGAUAAGGACUAUAUAAGGAGGACAAGGAAAGAGUAUAUAGAACCAAUAAUAUUUUCAUUGAGAUUAACCAAAUCUUUUGAUUUUUUCCCCAAUGACUUAUUAAUUCUCCGCAUGCAUUUUUUCUCUGAAAAUGUUACCAUUUAAAAGUAAUCUUUCAAUUAGAAAAAAGAAUAUAUUGAAUAGAAGUCUAUAUUCAGUAAAAUGUCUUUUCAGACAAUGGAAAACUGUACAGAUUUUCAUAAUAAAACCAGAAUAAAAUGAUCUAUAUUUUAAGAAUAAUGUAUAUGUAAUUCAUUGUUACAUUAAUUCACUAUUUUAAAAAGCAAUAAAAAGCAUUUUCACAAGGUAUUAUUAUGAAUAAAAUAAUAAAAUAAGGUACUUUGACCCGGAACCUGGCAGCCAGGCAAAGCAAAUGUUGGUGAAUUCUUUUUUUUGCCAUUACAAAUGGUGGUUACAAAUGGUGAACAAAUAUAAAUACCUGAAGUUGAAUAAAGCUGCAUUAGUAGUAAGCUUAGGAUUUUAUAAUUUUUCUUUGAAGUGAUAAAUAAUAUGUAAGUUAUGUGAUGUAUUACAGAAAAAAUAAAACAAAGCAUCAAUUUUGAUUCAAAAAUUUAUGACUAUCAUCAAGACAUCAGUUCCUUUUAUAAAUUCUAAUUCUUACCUCAUAAAACAAUAUAUCUAUUACUCUGGCCAAUUAUCUUUCACUUAAACGAAGUGCCUGGUUAGAAGGAAAGAGGAAAGUUGGUAAUUUUGACUUAAAUUGAUAAAUGUAAUAUAUACUUCCCAUUUACUGAGAGGCAUUGCCAUCAAUAUAUGGAGACUACAGUAACACUGAUUGUAAAUAUCCAAAUGUGUUUUAAAUUUACCAUGUAACAUGUGGCCCAAUUUACAAAAUCUAUUACCUAUCUAACACACUUUCUCCAAACCGGAAGAAAAGCUUUUCAUAAGUUGAAUAUAUUUUAAGUAGUAUUCUGAUGUGAGUACAUAAUAAUUUUAUACCAGUAAAGCAAGUGCUUAUACAAAGAAAAUAGCCACAGUGAGGAAUAAACCAGAUGCCUUUCUAUUAAAAUUUAAUGAUCCUUGUCAAGAGUAUUUAUAGAUCUGAGAGAGAAAUCAGAAUAUAGCAUCAGAUAAAGCACUUAAAAUUAUGCCAAUUUUUCUGACCCACCCAGAAAAUUAAAAUUUAGCCUUUUAUAACCCUAAUGGGAACAAUCCGUUAAUACCAAAUAUACAACAAUAUAAUAGCAAUUUCACCUGCUUUGAUUUCCCUAGCAUGUUUAAGCAGUAUUUUUUUCUUUUUUCCUUUUUUUCUUUUUUGAGACGGAGUCUCGCUCUGUCGCCCAGGCUGGAGUGCAGUGGCGCGAUCUCAGCUCACUGCAAGCUGCACCUCCCUGGUUCACGCCAUUCUCCUGCCUCAACCUCCCGAGUAGCUGGGACUACAGACGCCCACCACCACGCCCGGCUAAUUUUUUUGUAUUUUUAGUAGAGACGGGGUUUCACCUUGUCAGCCAGAAGUAGUAUUUUUAUUAAAAAAAAUUAAUUGCACAUCUGCUUGGCUUAGCUAUAUUAAAAUCAAUAAGGAAUUAAUAAAAUUUUAGUUUAUCAGAGAUACAAAGCAUUGUAAGAAAUUACUUCACUGAAAUUAAAAUAUUAAAAAGAAUUUUAGUCUGACUACAACUUUCAUCAAGCUAAGUUGUAACCAAAAGUCUGUCUUAUUGGCAAUUAUCGAAUCAUAAUUUGGUGGACUCAUAGGGUCACAUUCUUUGACACUCUAAGAGAAGAAGGGGUCUAUUUCUGCCCUGUUGCAUCUGGGCUUGCCUGUGGUGCUUUAACCACCACAGUGGGACAGAAAUGACAAGUUGUGAAAUCUGGGACUACUCCUGAGGUGAAUGGGGGUUCCCAUCUUGGCCUUUUGCAUCUUGAGCUACCACAUAAAAUGACUGACAACUCUGCUGAGGGAUUACAAGAAGUGGCCCUGAAAAUACAGGAAGAAGGAGAGGGGCACAGCUGAGCACACCCUUCUAGAGGUCUCCCCUAAGGCAUCAAGCAUGAGAGUGAAGCUGUCUGGAUUGUCAUCCAUACAUUAUUGUAUCAGCCAAGUUGCCAACUGAAUACCAUCCUGACUCUAAUUGGUACCACAUGGACUAGAAGAAUCACCCAGGCAUGUCCUGCUUGAAUUCCUCACUCACAAAGUAUGACACAUAAUGAAAUGUUUGUUGCUUUCAGUCCCUAAGUUUUAGAGCAGUUUAUUACACAGCAAUAAGUAACCAGAAAACAGAGGAUCUUAGAACUAAGAUGCCAUGCAACAACAGCAAGCAUAUUCUAAUACUGGCACUUCUCUAUCAUUUUGACAUAAUGUUUGAAAAUGGCAUAAUGUUUGAAAUGGCAAAAUAGGAAAUGUUUCCAGAGGCAUAAAAAUUCUCCUAAGAUUUGUCAAAAAAAGGUUGUGUAAAGAAUUUUUCCUAAAAAAC
rnacentral:lncRNA from 1 species